UACGAUGAUGGCUGCGAGCCCUGCGG
rnacentral:piRNA from 1 species